rnacentral:rRNA from 1 species
AGAGUGAACGCUGGCGGCAGGCCUAACACAUGCAAGUCGAACGGCAGCACAGGGGAGCUUGCUCCCUGGGUGGCGAGUGGCGGACGGGUGAGGAAUGCGUCGGAAUCUGCCUUUUCGUGGGGGAUAACGUAGGGAAACUUACGCUAAUACCGCAUGCGACCCCGGUCCGGGAGGAUCGGGGUGAAAGCGGGGGACCUUCGGGCCUCGCGCGGAAAGAUGAGCCGACGCCGGAUUAGCUAGUUGGCGGGUAACGGCCACCAAGGCGACGAUCCGUAGCUGGUCUGAGAGGAUGAUCAGCCACACUGGAACUGAGACACGGUCCAGACUCCUACGGGAGCAGCAGUGGGGAAUAUUGG